ACCGAGUCCACAUGUUCUUCAAAUGUAAACCAGAAAAAUGUUACAUGCGACUUUAAAAAUAAUUUCAACUUAGUGGUUAUCGAUGCAAUAUGUCCAAAUGGCGGAAGAACAAACACAAUCAAAUUAUGCAUCUCAGUUAGAGUUGAAAUCAUAUGUUUGGAGACUUAAGUUAGUGGCUUUUUAUAAUCAUUUUUCUUGAAUGCAACAAACAAAUGUUCUAUUUCCAUUGUUUCUGAACUCAAUAGUUCCAUACAUUUACUGCAGGAAUGUUUGUAGCGUACUACAUGUCAAUUGUGCCCCCUGUAUAUAUAUUCCUUAUAUCUGCGAAGGCAAUUGAAUAAAACUUGUCCGUCGAAGACAUAUGUGCGAUAUUGAUAAGCGCAUCGGUUAACUGAGUGUACCUACGUUUUUCCUUUUUCCUUUGUCUACCUUCAAUCAGUGCAAAUAAUUGAAAUAUUUGUCUAGAAAUCAUCUCGAUUUUCAGUUAUUUCGCUAUUGUUACAUAAAAUAAUCAGAUUAUCGUGUUUGGAAAACCCUCAUAAAGGGUUUUUCCUGGGAGAUAAUUUUUCCUGGGAGAUAAUUUUUCCUGGAAGAUAAUUUUUCUGGGAGACCAAUUCCUUAUCGACUCCCUCAAAACUAUCGAAACUUUUGGAUUCCUUGGAAUAUAAUUUUGGAAAGAAGAGGAUUUUCCAUCGUGAACUAUUGACUGCAGAUAUUUACCAGCAGUAGUCAUUGAAAUACUCCACUAUAGCUAGACGCUGUAGGCAUCACUACCACCCUGAUAUUAAUGUUCACCACCUUGAGACUAUCUACAGGGAGGUCACAAUAACUAGAGAGUUUUUCACCAGCCAUUCUAUCCAUCAGCGACUGUACACAGGGUGUACAAAAUUGUUAGGAAGUUUUCGCCGACAUUUCCAACGUGGAGAAAAUAUACAGGGAAGUCCAUUAUUUUUAUCAUUGUCUCCGAUAUCGAAAUUAUUUACUUUUUCUUGGUCAUUUAUCAAAUAUUUGGUGCCAGAUUAUCUGUAAAUAUUGCAAAUAUUGUAAAUAAACGCUUGUAUAUAA